GACGAACGCUGGCGGCGUGCUUAACACAUGCAAGUCGAACGGAAAGGCCCUGCUUUUGUGGGGUGCUCGAGUGGCGAACGGGUGAGUAACACGUGAGUAACCUGCCCUUGCUUUUGGGUUACUUCCAGGAACCUGGGGUUAUUACCGAAAAGGAGCCCUUGCUGCAUGUGGGGGGUUGGAAAUUUUCGGCGGUUGGGGAUGGACUCGCGGCUUAUCAGCUUGUUGGUGGGGUAGUGGCUUACCAAGGCUUUGACGGGUAGCCGGCCUGAGAGGGUGACCGGCCACAUUGGGACUGAGAUACGGCCCAGACUCCUACGGGAGGCAGCAGUGGGGAAUAUUGCACAAUGGGCGGAAGCCUGAUGCAGCAACGCCGCGUGCGGGAUGACGGCCUUCGGGUUGUAAACCGCUUUCGCCUGUGACGAAGCGUGAGUGACGGUAAUGGGUAAAGAAGCACCGGCUAACUACGUG
rnacentral:rRNA from 1 species